rnacentral:misc_RNA from 1 species
CACAACCCCCCGGGCUCUGCCCUUUCCCCUCGGUUUUCAUCUGUACAAGACGUUGAGUUUGAGCUCCAUAACUGUGGAAAGAAUGGCGACUUCUCUAGCCCGCAUCUCCAGAAAAGCCCUAACCUCCACGAUCUCCCCGCACCGCUACCUCCUUAAUCACACCUUAUCCGCUGAGGCAUCAACCAAAUCGAUAACGCCGUCGCCCGAUCGAGUCAAGUG